AAGAAGUUGUGCCAGUGGAGAACUCUUACUAGAAUUCCCCAGCACCUGGGAUUCUGCAAGACUGAUGUCAAAGAAGAAAUUACAGCUGCAGGAAAGAAAAGUAGAAAAUAGGAUACAGCCCUUCCAGAUGGGGUGAGCUCAGACACCUAUGUGACCAAUUAACCUACUAACCCGUACGUCUUUGUAAGGUGGGAGGAAAAUAGAGCACCCAGAGGAAACCCACACGGUCAAAAGGAAAACCUACAAACUCGUUACAGACAGCAGCGGGAAUUGGAUCCAGGAACUCGAGGUCAAGGGAACUCAUGCCAGUCCUCAUCGAGGGGUCAACAGUAGAAAUGGAAAGCAACUUCAAGUUCAUAGGCGUCAGCGUCACAGAGGAUGAAUCCUGUGGCCAACAUAUUGAUAUAAUCACAAAGAAGACAUGCCAGCAGCUCUACUUCAUUAAAGGCUUUAGAAUACUUGGUAAGUCAACAAAGAAUCUAGCAAAUUUCUACAGAUAUAUUGUGAGAACAUUUUGGUUGUGUCACUGUCUGGUUUGGAGGCUUGAGAAAAGCCGUAGAGGGUUGUAGAGUCCGACAGCUCCAUCAUGGGCACCAGCCUCCCCACCAUCAAGGAUAUCUUCAAAAGGCAAUGCCUCAAGAAGUCGGCAUCCAUCUUGAAGGAUCUUCACCAUCAAGGACGUGUUCUCUUCUUAUUGCUAACAUCAGGCAAGACGUACAGGAGCCUGAAGACGCACACUCAGCAUUUUAACAACAGCCUCUUCCCCUCUGCCAUCAGAGAACUAACAGUCCAUGGACACUAUUUUUCUCUUUUUGCAUGAUUUACUUCUUAAUAUUCCUUCUUGUAACUUCAUGAUUUAUGAAUUACACUUUACUGAACAACAAAUGGUAGACAUCAGUGUUAUUGAACCUGAUCCUGAGGCAGCUAAGAGGAGACAA